rnacentral:guide_RNA from 1 species
UAAAUCAUGCAGUGAAGAGCUACGUAAAUGGAUAGUCAGUGAU